rnacentral:rRNA from 1 species
GAUGAACGCUGGCGGCGUGCCUAAUACAUGCAAGUCGAGCGAACAGACGAGGAGCUUGCUCCUCUGACGUUAGCGGCGGACGGGUGAGUCACACGUGGAUAACCUACCUAUAAUACUGGGAUAACUUCGGGAAACCGGAGCUAAUACCGGAUAAUAUAUUGAACCGCAUGGUUCAAUAGUGAAAGACGGUUUUGCUGUCACUUAUAGAUGGAUCCGCGCCGCAUUAGCUAGUUGGUAAGGUAACGGCUUACCAAGGCAACGAUGCGUAGCCGACCUGAGAGGGUGAUCGGCCACACUGGAACUGAGACACGGUCCAGACUCCUACGGGAGGCAGCAGUAGGGAAUCUUCCGCAAUGGGCGAAAGCCUGACGGAGCAACGCCGCGUGAGUGAUGAAGGUCUUCGGAUCGUAAAACUCUGUUAUUAGGGAAGAACAAAUGUGUAAGUAACUAUGCACGUCUUGACGGUACCUAAUCAGAAAGCCACGGCUAACUACGUG